UACGUAGGGGGCAAGCGUUGUCCGGAAUUAUUGGGCGUAAAGAGCUCGUAGGCGGUGUGUCACGUCGGCCGUGAAAACCUGGGGCUUAACUCUGGGCGUGCGGUCGAUACGGGCAUCACUAGAGUUCGGCAGGGGAGACUGGAAUUCCUGGUGUAGCGGUGAAAUGCGCAGAUAUCAGGAGGAACACCAGUGGCGAAGGCGGGUUGCUGGGCCGACACUGACGCUGAUGCGCGAAAGCCAGGGGAGCGAACGGG
rnacentral:rRNA from 1 species